rnacentral:rRNA from 1 species
UACGGGGGGGGCAAGCGUUGUUCGGAAUUAUCUGGGUCGUAAAGGGCUCGUAGGUGGCCAACUAAGUCAGACGAUGAAAUCCCGUCGGCUUAACCGGGGAACUGCGUCUGAUGACUGGAUGGCUUGAGUUCGGGAGAGGGAUGCGGAAAUUCCAGGUGUAGCGGUGAAAUGCGUAGAUAUCGGAAGGAACAUCAGUGGCGAAA